CAAACCAGUGACAGGGGAAGGAGAAACCUGAGGAAGUUGCGACCCCAAGGCCAUGGGGGAGACUGUUUUUCCCUUUGGGAGGGAUGACUCUGUGUUGCCUAACAAUGGCAGUAGUGCAAAGGCGAGAAACUGCUACAAACCCUACUUUGGUUCCACACAGAACACAUGGAAUGAAAAUUGAGAAAUGGAGCCAGAUGCUGCAGAGAGCUCAAGAUUUUUCAAAUGUGUGAAACCCCUCAGAGCAACUGAUCUCCUAGUUAUUUCUCAGCAAGGUACUCCAACAAGGGACACAUGAAAACCACUGAAAAAUAUUAUUUUGUCUACAUUCUUUCCAUCUUAAAAUCUGUUUAAAUCUGAAAAAUGUGCUACAUGGUCUCUCUACCAAUGCCCAAAAACAUCAGUGGGAGCCAGCUCAAAAAUCUGAAAAAAACCCAGAAUUUAAAAAACUCUACUGAAAAAAAAAUUAGACAUAGCCUUUAUUCAAUAGGUUAAAAAUAUCCAAAACUUAGCAUGAUCAAAAGUCUAGAGGAUAAAAGCUUUUGUUAGAUUCAGACACAUGGCCAUUGUUUCAUAUAGAAAUUAUCAAGGAAUAUUAAUUCAUACUGCUUCAGUUACAAGAUUUCUGUUUAAUCAUGUACAAUGCACAGAAGUAAACACACAAAACAUAGAUUUCAGUGUCUGGGAGCACCACCUCAUUCCUCAUGAUUUCUGAAAUUGAGGAAUGUAGCCUUCUGCAAAGCUCAUAGAAAUGAACUGCGGCUGGAAAGAUGGGAACAAGACACACAUCUCUGAGUUAUUCUUCAGGAUUCUUAAAACUGGAAUGCCAGAAUGACUGCUUCAGGUUCUCUCUUGGUAGAGGAAGGGAACCCUGAUGUAUCAUUUAUGCAAUAGCCAUGAGGUCCCCUACACCUUACCACACCCUGAAAAGUACAAGGGAAGCACAAUGGAUCAUAAUUUAUUUAAUAGUGGAUAACAUGGACUUUUAAACUAUUAGACAGCUCAAAGAACAUUUAUAAGAGAAGGCAGAAAACCCAUUAUUCAUAUCUCCAUGUAGUGGUUUGGUACCUUCUUGCAAAAAGUGACCAGCAUAUAAAAAUUGUGAAUUGCUGCCCAAAAGGCAGAUUCUUCCAUAAUUGAUCAUUAAUGUGUUUCUUGUACCUUCUUCUGAACAGCCAGUAUUGGCUGCUGUCAGGGGUAGAAUAAUCUAUUAGGCAAAUUGAUACCGAUCCAGAGUAAUGUGGCGAUUCCUAAAUGUUGUUUUUGCUAAACUGGAAACAGAAUAUUAAGUAUUUAUUUAAAGAGAAAGGAAAGCAGUUUUUAAUGGUAUCCUAUGGAGUUCACAGAUGAACAUGUUUGCUAUUAUUGCUAUUGUUCCUUUGUGGAUGCUCCUGAAGCUGAUUGUAAAGUCUAGUAAUUUUCCAUCCCCUGCCCUUGGCUGUACCUCUUGUGUUAUUUCAAACAAAAAAUGCAAAGCACUGACCCUCCAGUAACAGAAAGUCAUUUGGGAUGACAAAUUUUGUCAUCGUAUUGUUGUAAACACACAGUUUAAAAGUGUUAAAAUAGAUAUGCAAAUUGCAAUGAUUGUAUUCCUAAAUGUGCCUGCAGGAACAUCAGGUAGGUGCAAUCAAGGAAGAAAAAUGUUGUUGUUUUAGGGAUAGCACCUUGAAUUUAAAGAUAGGGCUGCAGCUGAGGGCUGCAGAAUGUAAAUUCACUUGUUAAACUGCUCAUUUAUAUAUAUUUAAAAACAGAGACUAUAAUUCAGAAAAGCACCACACAUAUUCUUAAGUGCCUUUUUACUGGAGAAGAGGGAAGGCUUUUCAUCACAUGCCUUCCAUGAGUGACGGCGGUCAGUGAGAAGAGUGCUGCAGUGAGAAAAGUGUACUGGCACAGCUGAGGUAUUUGACUGAAUUGAAGCAGCUAUGCUGGCAGCUACUCUCAGUAUAGACAUACAUCCUUUCCAUUUAUAUAACUAAUUUCUUUUAUAGGAUGUGGCUUAGCUAAUUGUACAACACACAUGCAUCCAAUCUCAUUGCAGUUGUACAGAUAGAGUAGCAGCUUUGACCUAACAAAGAGCUGUAAGAAGCCUUUUCUCUAACAGUUUGCUAGGUGAGGAGAUUUCGAGAACUAGAAACAAAGGAAUAAAAGCAGAUAAAUAUAAAUAUGCUGUUAUUUAAUGCCACCAAGGGUAAAAGAAAAGAAAAUAUACAGCAGGCUGCAUUUCUUUGGGGAAAAUCUUUCAGUUGCCUGAUGGAGUUUUCCUACAGAACAAUAAAACACGUAUCUGUUAAAAGAUGAAUGGCCAAAUUUGGGUGAUUUACCAAUGCUAGGAUCCACAAACUUGUUUUUUAACUGCCUGCUUCUCAAGUCAGUCCUGCUAUAGAGGAGUGGGCUCGAUGCCAGCCCAGCCAUGUGCCCCAGUGCCCUGGCACACGCCAGUCACGCGCCAGGCUGCACCCACCAGCUGACUCGCUUCCCCCGUGGCACAGGAGCACAGGCAUGUGCUCCUGGGAAAAGACUGUUUGGAAACAAGCCUACAAAAUUAGCAAUGCAUCCUGGCCUUAUUCCCAGUUUUCACUUGAGGUCCCUUUAGUGAAAUGCAGUAAUGGAGCAGCUAGGGACAGUGGACAAGCAGUACUGCUGUGUCACACAGAUGCAAAAGUUCAUCUGUGACGUUGUAGGACUUAUAUAAUGCAGAUCUUAUUGUUUCCUUCUGGCUUCAGACCUCUGGAAGGACCUGUAAUGAACACAAAAUAUAGACUUUAUUUAGAAAAUAGCUCCCACAUCAGGAAUAACAGUGACUUGGAUGAAAUCAGUCAUAAAUGCAAGUAUGCAGUCACUAUAUUCUGCAAGUGGCUUCAUACAAAACAUUAAAGAAAUCAUCACUUUAAAAAUUAUUUUCAGUAUCAACAAUUUCAAUGCAUUCAAUUUACAUGAGGGCUUUUGUCAAAGGCAAUUAAUGUAAUCUAUUUUGUUUUUCUGAUAACUAUG